rnacentral:misc_RNA from 1 species
UCGAGCUCAGUCAGAGUACCAUGUAUAUUACACAUGGACUCUUUUAGGGGAAGUCAUGUGGGUCUCAAAAAUCUUCUUCAAAGCUACCUUUGCGAGGAGUGGAGAGAGAGGACAAAGGAAACGCCUGAUGUUGUCUCUUCGAAUUUUCGAAAUUUGAGAUUUCUCAGUCUUGAGCUACCGCAACAGCAAAAUCUGUCGGACUGUGGCCUUUUUUUACUACACUAUGUGGAGAGUUUUUUGGAGGAAGAUCCUGCUGGCAUCAACCCAUACAGCAUAAAGAACUACCACAACGAAUUUCUCAGCAUAAACUGGUUUCAACCAUAUGAGCCUUCUAUAAAGCGAAGUGCAAUUCAAAGACUGAUCAGUAACCUCCUCCAGAAUCUGUCUCUUGAAAAAUCUCCCUCUCGUGUGAGUAAUAGUUGCUAUCCUGAACGUGGUCUCAAG